UCUUGAUCUAUGUUGGGUUUAUACAUGUUUUUUCAGUGAUUUUGAUGCUGCCAAACUUAUCUUAAUGUAUCACUUCUGACAUUUUAUUCUGCUUCCUCUGGUAAUUGUACUUAAUUAAUAGAAUUUUAGAUGUUUUCAUUUUCGGUUCAUUUAGUUAGUCAAGGUAUUAAUCUUCUGCAGAUUACGACAUCAUUUUGUUGUUCAUCUGGUUUUUUUUCCCCUAUUUAUAACACGUCAUGAUCAGUGGCUCCCAAGCUUAAUUGAAAGGGAUUGGCAUUUUAAUUAGCUAGGAUCUAAUUUGAAAAUUACGUUUUAUACACCAGUAUUCCAAAUAUAUUGCAAUUUAUUUCAUUUCUGUUCUUUUUUUUGUUUGGCAAGCGAACACCGAUGUACAAAGGUGAUUACUCAAGUGCUAGAAUAUACUAGGCAUUUUCUUAGGCAACUUGAAAUUAUGCAGGUAAAUGCAAAGUUCAAUGCCUUUAUACAGCGUAUUCUCAACUUUUAAUGCAUUUUCAAUCUGGUCUUUAAUUUGUUUUUAUUAGGCUCAUGAAGUUUGAUUACACUCUUCAUUUUCAAUUGUACCAAUUAGGCUCAUAAAGUGGUUCAAAGAGCUCCAAGAGCUUGAUUCAUCCAUUUUAUACUUUUCAUGUAAAACUUCUUUCAAAAAGUUAAAACAUCUUUCAUUGUAAAUAAAUUAACCAUAGGUAACAAUCUUUUAUCCCUUCUUUUGUUUUUUGCUGCAUUGUUUAGGUGGUGAAUUGCGUGGAAAAUGGGGGAGGGUUACAAUUUAUUUAAUUUGAGCAAAAUAGUAGCAUUUAAGCUUAGUUGGUUAGUGAGGAUUAGAGUCAAUAAGGCGUCCUCUAUCUAUAUCAAAAAUCUGAAUUCAUUGAAUGAUGAAUGAGGUUGUAGUGAGAGAAAUUGAGAAAGUUAAGAAAAGACGAUAGAUGAAGCUACAAAUAUACGACAAACAAUAAUAAUACAUAAAUUCAUCUACGUUGGUUUAUUAAACUUCGUCAAGCAGGCCUUUUGCCUUAGUUGGGAUUUAGUUUGGUACUUUCAUACUAAUUUCCAUUGUUUAUAAUAGUUAACCAACUAAAAGUGCUUUCUUUUGAUUAUUUUCCAAUAUGUUUUAGCUAGUUGACAAUCCUAACAGAUUUACUUAGGCACCCAUCAAAUUGUGUAUUAUUAUACAUGUACCUAACAUAUAAUGCUAGAUAUAUUUUUAUAGUUGUCUCAUAUUAUAUAAAAAAAUUAUAAGUACCCUCUCUCUACAUGAAAACUAUCCAUUUCAUCAUGCAUUUUUUAGUUAAGCUACUAUGUUUUUGUAAUUGUUUUGACUGAGGAGGAGGAACAGAGGCUAAAGUACCUUCAAUUUGUUCAAGAGGAACCUCAUGCCGCAGUUUGCUUCACAAACCUUUACGGUGAAAUUUAUUUGUCGAACAAAUACAUAUCUCAUGAAAGGUUCAAAGGGAAACAUAUUGAUGCAACACAGAAAUACUACGAAACUAGUUGUGCUGAAGUUAUUUCCAUGCAUCGUACGCACGGUAGCAAAAUACCAAA